AGAUAAUGAACUUGUUAAAGUAUAUAUUUUGAAAAUAUAAGAAAGGAAAUAGCUGUCCUAUUAUCUG
rnacentral:tRNA from 1 species